rnacentral:snRNA from 1 species
AUGAGGGUGAUCUGGCUGCGACAUCUGUCACUGAUUGCCAGGGUUGAUUUGGAUGAUCUUGCUGGCUAGGUAAGUGCCCCCUUCCUCCCUCACCACUCCCAAAGCUGUGACCUUGGUGGAUGAGGAUGACCAUCCCAAAUAGAAUGUGUGUACCAAUCUCUGUGGUCAAGAGUAUAUGGUAGCUGCACUCCCUUUCUAAAACCUCCAAAAAUCUCAAGCCUUUGGGUUGGAAUCAACAUAAUAUCCUUUUCUGCUUGAUUGGGGAGACACAUUUUGCCUUGAGGAAAUAAGUUUUAUCUC